rnacentral:lncRNA from 1 species
GGGCCAAUUCAGAAAUAAUUUUGUACGUACCCAUAUCGCUAGAGCUAAUUAAAAAUACUUAAAAGGGUUGCUUGAUUUUAACUUAAAUUAAGCCUAAUAUCGAAAUUGUCUGCCGGUAUAAGUCUGCCCAAAUGACCAAUUAGGAGGGGCAACAUUGUAAGAAACAACACUGUGGCCAUUACUUGUGGUCACAACAAAAGAGAGGCUUUGUCCAUUAAGAUACGAGUUGCUUUGCCAGUUUUGGCCCCAGUUUCUCGACAUCGGUUGCCAUCUAGUCCUUGAACCUUUGAUGGAUACAGCAUGCACGUCACCAGCUCCUCCCACGUUUGUUAUUAGAACUAAAUUGAAGUA